AUGGCCUACCAAGGCGACAAUCCGUAGCUGGUCUGAGAGGACGACCAGCCACACCGGAACUGAGACACGGUCCGGACUCCUACGGGAGGCAGCAGUGGGGAAUAUUGGACAACCCUGAUCCAGCGACGCCGCGUGUGUGAAGAAGGCCUGCGGGUUGUAAAGCACUUUUAGUGGGGACAAAAAGCUACGGAUUAAUACUCUGUGGUCUUGAUUUAACCCAAAGAAAAAGCACCGGCUAACUCUGUGCCAGCAGCCGCGGUAAUAA
rnacentral:rRNA from 1 species